AACGAACGCUGGCGGCAGGCUUAACACAUGCAAGUCGAGCGCCCCGCAAGGGGAGCGGCAGACGGGUGAGUAACGCGUGGGAACGUACCUUUUGGUUCGGAACAACUCCGGGAAACUGGAGCUAAUACCGGAUAAGCCCUAACGGGGAAAGAUUUAUCGCCGAAAGAUCGGCCCGCGUCUGAUUAGCUAGUUGGUGAGGUAACGGCUCACCAAGGCGACGAUCAGUAGCUGGUCUGAGAGGAUGAUCAGCCACACUGGGACUGAGACACGGCCCAGACUCCUACGGGAGGCAGCAGUGGGGGAUAUUGGACAAUGGGCGCAAGCCUGAUCCAGCCAUGCCGCGUGAGUGAUGAAGGCCUUAGGGUUGUAAAGCUCUUUUGUCCGGGAAGAUAAUGACUGUACCGGAAGAAUAAGCCCCGGCUAACUUCGUG
rnacentral:rRNA from 1 species